rnacentral:rRNA from 1 species
AAUGAACGCUGGCGGCAGGCCUAAACAUGCAAGUCGAACGCUGUAGCAAUACAGAGUGGCGCACGGGUGAGUAACAUGUGGGAAUAUGCCUAUUGGUACGGAACAACGUUUGGAAACGAACGCUAAUACCGUAUGGUCCCUUCGGGGUAAAGAUUUAUCGCCAAUAGAUUAGCCCGCACUAGAUUAGCUAGUUGGUGAGGUAAGAGCUCACCAAGCCGACGAUCGGUAGCUGGUCUGAGAGGAUGAUCAGCCACACUGGGACUGAGAUACGGCCCAGACUCCUACGGGAGGCAGCAGUGGGGAAUAUUGGACAAUGGGGGCAACCCUGAUCCAGCAAUGCCGCGUGAGUGAUGAAGGCCUUAGGGUUGUAAAGCUCUUUUGCCAGGGAAGAUGAUGACUGUACCUGGUAGAAUAAGCCCGGCUAACUUCGUGCCAGCAGCCGCGGUAAU